rnacentral:rRNA from 1 species
UAGCGAAGGGGCUAGCGUUGUUCGGAAUUAGCUGGGCGUAAAGGGCGCGUAGGCGGUACUUCAAGUCAGGCGUGAAAGCCCCGGGCUCAACCCGGGAACUGCGUCCGAUACUGGCAGGCUUGAAUCCGGGAGGGGGAUGCGGAAUUCCAGGUGUAGCGGUGAAAUGCGUAGAUAUCUGGAGGAACACCGGUGGCGAAGGCGGCAUCCGUGGACCGGCAUUGACGCUGAGGCGCGAAAGCCAGGGGAGCAAACGGG